GUGCGACCCUUCAAUUUAUCUUCAUGGAGUUCCUGCAAAAUUUUAUUCCCGCAUUACUUGUCUUGAGUGUUUUGAAACCCUUGAUGAAUAUGACGAUCAUCUGAAGGCAAAGGCACAGCUUGCUUGAUGAGAAAAAUAUUCCUCCUCAGGUUAUCAAUAGUUUUGUGUGUCCGUCGUGCUUUUUACUUUUAACUUUUUAAAUGUCUACAGCACAUGUUUGAAAGCAAUCACUUCUUGUGAGCCAUCAAAUUAGAUGAUAAAGGGAUACCAUGUCCAAUACCAUUCUCUAUAUGCAAAAAAUGUUUUGAUUGCUCUGUGUAAGGACAUUCCAUUACAAGUGAAAUGCACAUCCUGCAAACAAGAACUACGUUCUCACGUGGAACUUACUGCUCAUUUUAGGUAAAUAUUUACACUUUUGUUAUGUAUAGGAUUUGAUACAUGAGGGAGCUGUGUGUAGCAGGGGGUGUAUUAGGCUUAAAAUAGCAUAAGGGUAGGAAGAGUGAACCUUGAACUUGUUGUCAGUUGACUAUUCCAUCUCAAUGGGAUGUGAAACUAUCAUUGCAGGGAUACCUCAAUGUUAAAAUUAGGAAGUAGUUUUGACAGUUGAGUGCUAGAGAUGUCUGUGAGUGCUAGAGAUGUCUGUGAGUGCUAGAGAUGUCUGUGAGUGCUAGAGAUGUCUGUGAGUGCUAGAGAUGUCUGUGAGUGCUAGAGGUGGAAGGAAGGAAUCUCAAAGUGAAUGGUUGAAAAUAUGGAAGGAGCAGAAGUAAGUCCAUCAUGUGAAUGGAUUCUUUGACUGGGAGUGAAUAAAAGGAGUUUAUAUUAAGAAAAGGGAGAAACCAGAA